rnacentral:rRNA from 1 species
AUAACUGAUGGAAACGUCAGCUAAGACCGCAUAGGUGUAGAGAUCGCAUGAACUCUAUAUGAAAAGUGCUACGGGACUGGUAGAUGAUGGACUUAUGGCGCAUUAGCUGGUUGGUAGGGUAACGGCCUACCAAGGCGACGAUGCGUAGCCGACCUGAGAGGGUGACCGGCCACACUGGGACUGAGACACGGCCCAGGCUCCUACGGGAGGCAGCAGUAGGGAAUUUUCGGCAAUGGGGGAAACCCUGACCGAGCAACGCCGCGUGAAGGAAGAAGUAAUUCGUUAUGUAAACUUCUGUCGUAGAGGAAGAACGGUGGAUAUAGGGAAUGAUAUCCAAGUGACGGUACUCUAUAAGAAAGCCACGGCUAACUACGUGCCAGCAGCCGCGGUAAUACGUAGGUGGCGAGCGUUAUCCGGAAUUAUUGGGCGUAAAGAGGGAGCAGGCGGCACUAAGGGUCUGUGGUGAAAGAUCGAAGCUUAACUUCGGUAAGCCAUGGAAACCGUAGAGCUAGAGUGUGUGAGAGGAUCGUGGAAUUCCAUGUGUAGCGGUGAAAUGCGUAGAUAUAUGGAGGAACACCAGUGGCGAAGGCGACGAUCUGGCGCAUAACUGACGCUCAGUCCCGAAAGCGUGGGGAGCAAAUAGGAUUAGAUACCCUAGUAGUCCACGCCGUAAAC